rfam:Rhodopseudomonas palustris CGA009 complete genome.
CCAGACCUACGGUUCGGGCAACUACCCGGCAAUGUCCGAACCGUCGAGGGGUCCCAGCGCAAGCUGGGGCCCCUUUCUUUAU